AGAGUUUGAUCAUGGCUCAGGAUGAACGCUGGCGGCGUGCCUAACACAUGCAAGUCGAGCGAUUCUCUUCGGAGAAGAGCGGCGGACGGGUGAGUAACGCGUGGGUAACCUGCCCUGUACACACGGAUAACAUACCGAAAGGUAUGCUAAUACGAGAUAACAUACUUUUAUCGCAUGGUAGAAGUAUCAAAGCUUUUGCGGUACAGGAUGGACCCGCGUCUGAUUAGCUAGUUGGUAAGGUAACGGCUUACCAAGGCGACGAUCAGUAGCCGACCUGAGAGGGUGAUCGGCCACAUUGGAACUGAGACACGGUCCAAACUCCUACGGGAGGCAGCAGUGGGGAAUAUUGCACAAUGGGCGAAAGCCUGAUGCAGCAACGCCGCGUGAGCGAUGAAGGCCUUCGGGUCGUAAAGCUCUGUCCUCAAGGAAGAUAAUGACGGUACUUGAGGAGGAAGCCCCGGCUAACUACGUGCCAGCAGCCGCGGUAAUACGUAGGGGGCUAGCGUUAUCCGGAAUUACUGGGCGUAAAGAGUGCGUAGGUGGUUUCUUAAGUCAGAGGUGAAAGGCUACGGCUCAACCGUAGUAAGCCUUUGAAACUGGGAAACUUGAGUGCAGGAGAGGAGAGUGGAACUCCUAGUGUAGCGGUGAAAUGCGUAGAUAUUAGGAGGAACACCAGUUGCGAAGGCGGCCCUCUGGACUGCAACUGACACUGAGGCACGAAAGCGUGGGUAGCAAACAGGAUUAGAUACCCUGGUAGUCCACGCCGUAAACGAUGAGUACUAGCUGUCGGAGGUUACCCCCUUCGGUGGCGCAGCUAACGCAUUAAGUACUCCGCCUGGGAAGUACGCUCGCAAGAGUGAAACUCAAAGGAAUUGACGG
rnacentral:rRNA from 1 species